rnacentral:rRNA from 1 species
CCUGCACCUGCCGGCGACCGGCGCACGGGUGAGUAACACGUAUGGAACCUGCCCGCCACAGGGGGAUAACCCGGGGAAACCCGGCCUAAUACCCCAUGCCGCCCGGACCGGGCAUCUGGUCCGGGCGAAAGGAGGAAUCCGGUGGCGGCUGGGCAUGCGGCGCAUUAGCUUGACGGCGGGGUAACGGCCCACCGUGGCGACGAUGCGUAGGGGUUCUGAGAGGAAGGUCCCCCACACUGGUACUGAGACACGGACCAGACUCCUACGGGAGGCAGCAG